UCGAACGAUGAUCCGGUGCUUGCACCGGUGAUUAGUGGCGAACGGGUGAGUAACACGUGAGUAACCUGCCCUUAACUCUGGGAUAAGCCUGGGAAACUGGGUCUAAUACCGGAUAUGACUCCUCAUCGCAUGGUGGGGGGUGGAAAGCUUUUUGUGGUUUUGGAUGGACUCGCGGCCUAUCAGCUUGUUGGUGAGGUAAUGGCUCACCAAGGCGACGACGGGUAGCCGGCCUGAGAGGGUGACCGGCCACACUGGGACUGAGACACGGCCCAGACUCCUACGGGAGGCAGCAGUGGGGAAUAUUGCACAAUGGGCGCAAGCCUGAUGCAGCGACGCCGCGUGAGGGAUGACGGCCUUCGGGUUGUAAACCUCUUUCAGUAGGGAAGAAGCGAAAGUGACGGUACCUGCAGAAGAAGCGCCGGCUAACUACGUGCCAGCAGCCGCGGUAAUAC
rnacentral:rRNA from 1 species